rnacentral:rRNA from 1 species
UACGUAGGGUGCAAGCGUUGUCCGGAAUCAUUGGGCGUAAAGAGCGUGUAGGCGGUCCGGUAAGUCCGCUGUGAAAGUCGGGGGCUCAACCCUCGAAUGCCGGUGGAUACUGUCGGGCUAGAGUGCGGAAGAGGCGAGUGGAAUUCCUGGUGUAGCGGUGAAAUGCGCAGAUAUCAGGAGGAACACCGGUGGCGAAGGCGGGUCUCUGGGCCGAUACUGACGCUGAGGAGCGAAAGCGUGGGGAGCAAACAGG